rnacentral:rRNA from 1 species
UAAUGAUCAAAUGUGGAGGAACAUACAAUAAACGGUCAGACGUAAAGCAUAUGGCUAGAGUGGCGAACGGGUGAGUAACACGUGGACAACCUGCCUCUAAGCAGGGGAUAACAUUUGGAAACAGAUGCUAAUACCGUAUAACAACACAUUUCGCAUGAAGUGUGUUUAAAAGGGGCUUCGGCCUCACUUAGAGAUGGAUCCGCGGUGCAUUAGUUAGUUGGUGAGGUAAAGGCUUACCAAGACGAUGAUGCAUAGCCUAGUUGAGAGCUGAUCGGCCACAUUGGGACUGAGACACGGCCCAAAUUCAUUCUGCAGGGCGGAUUAGGGAUGCCUCUAGACAGACUGCCGGUGACAAACCGGAGGAUGGCGGGGAUGACGUCAGAUCAUCAUGCCCCUUAUGACCUGGGCUACACACGUGCUACAAUGGCGUAUACAACGAGUUGCGAACCGGCGACGGUAAGCUAAUCUCUUAAAGUACGUCUCAGUUCGGAUUGUAGUCUGCAACUCGACUACAUGAAGUCGGAAUCGCUAGUAAUCGCGGAUCAGCAUGCCGCGGUGAAUACGUUCCCGGGUCUGGUACACACCGCCCGCACACCAUGACGACGUUUGUACCUUUCAGGGUCCCCUUGCCACUGAACCAACCCCA